rnacentral:rRNA from 1 species
GGUGACGAGUGGCGGACGGGUGAGUAAUGUCUGGGAAACUGCCUGAUGGAGGGGGAUAACUACUGGAAACGGUAGCUAAUACCGCAUAACGUCGCAAGACCAAAGAGGGGGACCUUCGGGCCUCUUGCCAUCAGAUGUGCCCAGAUGGGAUUAGCUAGUAGGUGGGGUAAUGGCUCACCUAGGCGACGAUCCCUAGCUGGUCUGAGAGGAUGACCAGCCACACUGGAACUGAGACACGGUCCAGACUCCUACGGGAGGCAGCAGUGGGGAAUAUUGCACAAUGGGCGCAAGCCUGAUGCAGCCAUGCCGCGUGUAUGAAGAAGGCCUUCGGGUUGUAAAGUACUUUCAGCGGGGAGGAAGGUGUUGCGGUUAAUAACCGCAGCAAUUGACGUUACCCGCAGAAGAAGCACCGGCUAACUCCGUGCCAGCAGCCGCGGUAAUACGGAGGGUGCAAGCGUUAAUCGGAAUUACUGGGCGUAAAGCGCACGCAGGCGGUCUGUCAAGUCGGAUGUGAAAUCCCCGGGCUCAACCUGGGAACUGCAUUCGAAACUGGCAGGCUAGAGUCUUGUAGAGGGGGGUAGAAUUCCAGGUGUAGCGGUGAAAUGCGUAGAGAUCUGGAGGAAUACCGGUGGCGAAGGCGGCCCCCUGGACAAAGACUGACGCUCAGGUGCGAAAGCGUGGGGGAGCAAACAGGA